GGUGUGGUCUGUGUGUGUGUGUGUAAAUCUUAUCUGUUUGGGUAUAUUGAGAAACCUAUAUCUGAGAUGAUAGCCUGAAUACAAAGACCUGAAGUGAAGUGAAGAGAAGUGGAGGAGGAGGAGGAGGAGGAGGAGGAGAGAUACCAAUGACAGUAAUGAAUGGCAUACUUCACUUGACAGACUGACAGGACAACAAAUAAACAUUGUGUCACUUCAUUUCAAAUAUUAAUGUCAACAUUAAUUUAAUCCUCUGCUUGGUAAGAUGCCCAUAAAAAUUAGAAAACAUGUCAGGAUAUGUCCUAACUGUGUGUGUGUGUGUGUGUGUGUGUGUGUGUGUGUGUGUGUGUGUGUGUGUGUGUGUGUGUGUGUGUGUGUGUGUGUGUGUGUGUGUGUGUGUGUGUGUGAGAA